GUUAUCCGGAAUCAUUGGGUUUAAAGGGUCCGUAGGCGGUCAGAUAAGUCAGUGGUGAAAGCCCAUCGCUCAACGGUGGAACGGCCAUUGAUACUGUCUGACUUGAAUUAUUAGGAAGUAACUAGAAUAUGUAGUGUAGCGGUGAAAUGCUUAGAGAUUACAUGGAAUACCAAUUGCGAAGGCGGGUUACUACUAAUUGAUUGACGCUGAUGGACGAAAGCGUGGGUAGCGAACAGG
rnacentral:rRNA from 1 species